rnacentral:lncRNA from 13 species
AUGUGUCGAUACCUACCUGUCGAGUCCACUCGUGUCAAGUCAUCUCCUUGUGCAGAGUCUUCUCCUUGUGUCGAUUACCUACCUGUCGAGUCCUCUCGUGUCGAUUCCUGUCCUUGCGACGAUUCUUCUUCUUGUGUCGAUUACCUACCUGUCAAGUCUUCUCCUUGCGUAGAGUCUUCUCCUUGCGUAGAGUCUUCUCCUUGCGUAGAGUCUUCUCCUUGCGUAGAGUCUUCUCCUUGCGUAGAGUCUUCUCCUUGCGUAGAGUCUUCUCCUUGCGUAGAUUACCUAUCUGACGAGUCCUGUGCUUGCGACGAGUCCUGUCCUUGUGAACAGUCUUCUACUUGUGUCGAUUACCUACCUGUCGAGUCUACUCCUGUCGAGUCAUCUCCUUGUGCAGAGUCUUCUCCUUGUGUCGAUUACCUACCUGUCGAGUCCACUCGUGUCGAGUCCUCUCCUUAUGUCGAGUCCUGUCCUUGUGAAGUGUCUUCAACUUGUGUUGAUUACCUACCUUUCGAGUCCUCUCGUGUAGAGUCUUCUCCUUGUGUCGAUUACCUACCUGUCGAGUCCUCUCCUUAUGUCGAUUCCUGUCCUUGCGUAGUCUUCUCCUUGCGACGAGUCUUCUCCUUGCGACGAGUCUUCUCCUUUCGACGAGUCUUCUCCUUGCGACGAGUCUUCUCCUUGCGACGAGUCUUCUCCUUGUGUCGAUUACCUACCAGUCGAGUCCUCGUGUUGAGUUCUCUCCGUUAGUCUUCUCCUUGUGUAGAUUACCUACCUGACGAGUCCUGUGCUUAAGACGAGUCCUGUCCUUGCAACGAGUGUCCUCGUGUCAAUUACCUACCUGUCGAAUCCUCUCCUAGUGACGAGUCCUGUCCUUGCGACGAUUCUUCUACUUGUUGAUUACCUACCUGUCAAGUCUUCUCCUUGCGUAGAGUCUUCUCCUUGCGUAGAGUCUUCUCCUUGCGUAGAGUCUUCUCCUUGCGUAGAGUCUUCUCCUUGCGUAGAGUCUUCUUGCGUAGAGUCUUCUCCUUGCGUAGAGUCUUCUCCUUGCGUAGAUUACCUAUCUGACGAGUCCUGUGCUUGCGACGAGUCCUGUCCUUGUGAACAGUCUUCUACUUGUGUCGAUUACCUACCUGUCGAGUCUACUCCUGUCGAGUCAUCUCCUUGUGCAGAGUCUUCUCCUUGUGUCGAUUACCUACCUGUCGAGUCCACUCGUGUCGAGUCCUCUCCUUAUGUCGAGUCCUGUCCUUGUGAAGUGUCUUCAACUUGUGUUGAUUACCUACCUUUCGAGUCCUCUCGUGUAGAGUCUUCUCCUUGUGUCGAUUACCUACCUGUCGAGUCCUCUCCUUAUGUCGAUUCCUGUCCUUGCGUAGUCUUCUCCUUGCGACGAGUCUUCUCCUUGCGACGAGUCUUCUCCUNNNNNNNNNNUUGCGUAGAGUCUUCUCCUUGCGUAGAGUCUUCUCCUUGCGUAGAUUACCUAUCUGACGAGUCCUGUGCUUGCGACGAGUCCUGUCCUUGUGAACAGUCUUCUACUUGUGUCGAUUACCUACCUGUCGAGUCUACUCCUGUCGAGUCAUCUCCUUGUGCAGAGUCUUCUCCUUGUGUCGAUUACCUACCUGUCGAGUCCACUCGUGUCGAGUCCUCUCCUUAUGUCGAGUCCUGUCCUUGUGAAGUGUCUUCAACUUGUGUUGAUUACCUACCUUUCGAGUCCUCUCGUGUAGAGUCUUCUCCUUGUGUCGAUUACCUACCUGUCGAGUCCUCUCCUUAUGUCGAUUCCUGUCCUUGCGUAGUCUUCUCCUUGCGACGAGUCUUCUCCUUGCGACGAGUCUUCUCCUUGCGACGAGUCUUCUCCUUGCGACGAGUCUUCUCCUUGCGACGAGUCUUCUCCUUGUGUCGAUUACCUACCAGUCGAGUCCUCGUGUUGAGUUCUCUCCGUUAGGUAAUCUACACAAGGAGAAGACUACCUGACGAGUCCUGUGCUUAAGACGAGUCCUGUCCUUGCAACGAGUGUCCUCGUGUCAAUUACCUACCUGUCGAAUCCUCUCCUAGUGACGAGUCCUGUCCUUGCGACGAUUCUUCUACUUGUUGAUUACCUACCUGUCGAGUCUUCUCCUUGUGUUGAGUCUUCUCCUUGUGUUGAGUCUUCUCCUUGUGUUGAGUCUUCUCCUUGUGUUGAGUCUUCUCCUUGUGUUGAGUCUUCUCCUUGUGUUGAGUCUUCUCCUACGUACGAUAUUAUGAUAUAUAAGAAAAGGAGACAGAGGAUACAGGGUCAUGGUCAUGCUAGUUGGAU